AUUGAACGCUGGCGGCAUGCCUUACACAUGCAAGUCGAACGGCAGCACGGGAGUAAUCCUGGUGGCGAGUGGCGAACGGGUGAGUAAUAUAUCGGAACGUGCCCAGUCGUGGGGGAUAACGUAGCGAAAGCUACGCUAAUACCGCAUACGAUCUAUGGAUGAAAGCGGGGGAUCGCAAGACCUCGCGCGAUUGGAGCGGCCGAUAUCAGAUUAGCUAGUUGGUGGGGUAAAAGCUCACCAAGGCGACGAUCUGUAGCUGGUCUGAGAGGACGACCAGCCACACUGGAACUGAGACACGGUCCAGACUCCUACGGGAGGCAGCAGGUGGGGAAUUUUGGACAAUGGGCGAAAGCCUGAUCCAGCAAUGCCGCGUGCAGGACGAAGGCCUUCGGGUUGUAAACUGUCUUUUGUACGGAACGAAAAAGUCUGCCCUAAUACGGUGGGCUCAUGACGGUACCGUAAGAAUAAGCACCGGCUAACUACGUG
rnacentral:rRNA from 1 species